UACGAAGGGGCUAGCGUUGCUCGGAAUUAUCGUGGGCGUAAAGCGCACGUAGGCGCCUUGUAAGUCGUCACUGUGAAAGUCCGGGGCUCAACCCCGGGAUGCCAGGGGAUACUGCGAGGCUGGAGACAAGCAGAGGUUGGUAGAAUUCCGGGUGUAGCGGAUGGAAUGCGUAGAGAUCCGGAGGAAUACCAGAGGCGAAGGCGGCCAACUGGGCUGUCUGACGCUGAGGUGCGAAAGCGUGGGGAGCGAACAGG
rnacentral:rRNA from 1 species